rnacentral:lncRNA from 1 species
AGCAUCUACGAUGAUCGGAACCUUUUUUAUAAUGACUUCUUCCGUAGUUGACUCCAAACUGCUCUGCGUAGUCGCAUCCGAACCGCUUUCCGUAGUCGUUGAUACUUCGCUUUCCGUAGUCGUUGAUACUUCGCUUUCCGAGCAACAUCUGGAGGUGGUACGACGGUCACAGUCACCGUCGUCUGUAUCGUUGUGGAGCUGACAACCGUCGAUGUGGACGUGAUUCCGAUCGCAUUUCUGAUGGUGUUUCUAAGGUUCAGAUAUAGAUUGCCAAAGAAUCGAACAAAAGGACCUUGUGCUUGGCUUUCUCCAAUCAUUGAGGACUGGAAUUCCAGACGAGCGCAAUAUUCGGACUGGACUGCAGCGACUACAAAGACUUUCUGAGCUUGUCGACACCUAACGAUUCAUCCUUUUAUAGAAUCUAGAGAAAUCACCUUGUUAUUUGGUUUCGUUCGUACGACGAGUCUCUCCUGUACGGUGUAAUCAAGGAUUUAGGACGGCCGCAGGAUUUGGCAAAAAAAAAAAAGCGUUUAGGUACUGCAAUUAAAAUACAAAUUGGGAGUCGUAAACCUUAAGGGUCUCAAGUUCAAACGGCGCCAACGGAAAGAUUUCCUUUUUGGCCCAGCCGUUUGGUCUCGAGACCAGGUACAACGCUGCAUGCAGUAGUAAGAAGAAUUGAACACAACAAGAUGGAAAACCGCGCAUUGCCCUGCUGCCAUCUGUCUGUAAAUCGAGCAGUACCUGUGCCCGACCGAAGGAAGUUGUGUAAUAAUCCAAAGAGAUUACGAGUGUUCGAUUAGGUGGAAAAAGGAAUACGAUACGGUCAAUUCCCAAGGAAAAAGUUUGAACCUUCCCAUGUUUCAUGUAUAAUUUAGUACAUGAUUACAACUGUUGGUAUGCGAAUAGAGGGGGUGAAGCCUCGGAAAUUUCACACGUCGGACCUGCUGGACUCGAGAGUUAAAUAGCCAGUGAAACAUUAAAUGGAGAUCCGUUGUUUCAUUUGGCUGGGCUAAACGUCAGUUGACCGCAACAGAAAAAAUUAAUAAUAAGCAGAGACGUUCCUGACGAAGAUUAAGAAAAUCAACACAGCAGCAUCCGAUAAUUUAAAAAGGAAGAUAAAAUAACAUUUUACAACAAUCAAACAAAGGAAAAUUGGAAAAAGAACAAAGGGAGAACCCCCCGGUAACCCGUUACACGUUCAUUGCUGUAAACACCAAGACAAUUUGAAUCAAAAACAAUUGAUUUCAAUUUGUGAACUUUAAAUCGGCUGUGAUAUCAGCCUGGGAAUUCUCUGCGAUAUCAAAUUGACGUUGUCGAGAUGGAAAAGACGACUCGAUGAUGCUCGAAUGUUUGAUGAGGUGUGGGCUACCGGCCAAUUUAGCCGCACCGGACCUGAGGAGAUCGACGAAGGAAUCCAUCCACGAGGUCAAGAUCAUCGAUGUCUACAACAUCAAUAGCAUCUCGGUUUUCAGCUAAAUGUGCCACGUUUGAGGCCGGCCCUGAAUUCCGAGCACUCUCUUGUUCUUCCGGCGAUAAAUCCAACUCUAAAUGACGCUGCAUGGCCAUUAAAUCCAUAUCGUCAAUGUCGAUAACAUCCCGCGUGGGCAUUGCCGAUGGUUUCAACUGGCCAAAGUCGUCCACUUUGAAGGAAUUCUUAGAGAUUUCUGGUCCUCUUCGAUUUCUCCGUGCCGUUGCAACAUGCCUACACUGACGGUGUACGUCGGGCAUUUGGAAGCGAUUUCUGUCACGAUGUACUCCGAGUACAUUGUCUUUGUGGCCAAGGAAACGGACGUGGCUGUGGAUGUGACGGUCUGGUAAGCAGUGGAUCUCUCGGUCAGUGUCACGACGGCCACGCUGACCAACAAUGAAACAUCAACCGAUGUGGUGGUUUCUGUGACAGUUUCAGUCAGAAAUUCCCGCUCUGUUUGCGUCGUCCAUCUGAGCCAAGACAAAGACAAGACCGUCACAGGUUCGACGAAGGCCGGCUCACUUGCAGUGGACGUGCGUCGCUGAAAGAUUUGCGCGAAAUUGGCAGCCAAAGCGCCGAAAAAUCCCGCGUUUGUACUCUGAGCCCAACUGGAAUGGACGAAUAAGGUGAAACACAACGCCAGCACGUACCACUUGACCAUUGCGGAUGGAACCAUUUCUUUGAGGGAGUAUUGUGGCAGGUCAGUGAAUAACGGGGUCUAAAAUAAGCCGCUCAAGUGCGAAGCAUUUUGACUUCGUCAUUUUGCAGAUGGGGUUCACAUACCGCUACGUUGCAUACAGGUAAAUAUUGCCGAUGAACUUUGCUUAUUUACCUGUUAAAAUAAAUAACCAUUAAAGCCAUCAGGAAAAUUGAGCAGCCGCACCGAAAUGAAAAGUGUCUCGUGUUAUUGGUGAUUGCGUGUUUCACGCAUAAGAUACGCGCAUGCCCACACGUUUAACGGUUCGUUGCAUACCGUCAGCGACACUCACCUGAGGCCGGACCGAAACAGUUUUGUACGAUUAUCAACCCUAAGUAGAAAGAAGAGGGAGAGACGGACGCCAGAACAUUUGUAACAGGUACACCUUCAACCUGCGUGAGAACAUUUCGACUGCACCUUUUUUUUUCGAUCGAAAAAUCGAUUUAUUGUAGCUGCCGGAAAGGGAACAUCCUGCAACUGUGGUGG